GUUAUUCGCAUAACGAACACCGUGACUUUUAAUCAAUUGAUCGUAGGUUCGAGCCGAGCGAAGCGAGACAGCAACGCGUCAGCGUUGACCCCGAAGGGGCGAAGCCGAAGGCUGAGUAAUCCUGCACGACCCACCA
rnacentral:sRNA from 1 species